rnacentral:rRNA from 1 species
GAACCCAAAAACUUUGAUUUCUCGUAAGGUGCCGAACGGGUCAUCAUAGAGUCCCGUCCGAUCCCUAGUCGGCAUAGUUUAUGGUUAAGACUACGACGGUAUCUGAUCGUCUUCGAUCCCCUAACUUUCGUUCCCUGAUUAAUGAAAACAUCCUUGGCGAAUGCUUUCGCAGUAGUUAGUCUUCAGCAAAUCCAAGAAUUUCACCUCUGACAGCUGAAUACUGACGCCCCCGACUAUCCCUAUUAAUCAUUACGGCGGUCCUAGAAACCAACAAAAUAGAACCGCACGUCCUAUUCUAUUAUUCCAUGCUAAUGUAUUCGAGCAAAGGCCUGCUUUGAACACUCUAAUUUUUUCACAGUAAAAGUCCUGGUUCCCCCCACAGCCAGUGAAGGCCAUGGGGUUCCCCAGAAGGAAAGGUCCAGCCGGACCAGUACUCGCGGUGAGGCGGACCGGCCAGCCAGACCCAAGGUUCAACUACGAGCUUUUUAACUGCAACAACUUUAAUAUACGCUAUUGGAGCUGGAAUUACCGCGGCUGCUGGCACCAGACUUGCCCUCCAAUUGUUCCUCGUUAAGGGAUUUAAAUUGUUCUCAUUCCAAUUACGAGACCCAAAAGAGCCCCGUAUCAGUAUUUAUUGUCACUACCUCCCCGUAUCGGGAUUGGGUAAUUUGCGCGCCUGCUGCCUU